UAAGUGUGCAGACAAAAACGGCGUCUCCAAUCCUCCAGUGUAAUAAUUCUUGUGGUGGGGAGAUCUGCCCAGGGCGGGAGCAGCAUGAAAGCCGACAUAAUGAAACGAGAAUGGGCAAGCGAAAUCUGUCUGAUGACUUUCGGUUAUGAAUAGAGUGGGGAGAUCGCUCUCGGCGCUGUGUCUGUGUGAGACGUACACGCGCUAGAGAUGCUGUGAGGUAAUGAGGAAUAUUUGAGCGCCUAUGGCCGUCUUUGAACCACGGCUUCUCCGAGAUGCUGGGCGAGCAGUACACCAAGGAGACCAUGGAGGCCUGGAGACGGCUGUACAACUACAUCAGCUGCCAGAUGAAACGAGGGAUGCAGGACCCAGAGGGGAAGCUACUGGACGAUGCGGAGACCACGUGACCCAGAGCAGCAACAAGCGCCCAAACUCUGUUGUUCUUCACAGACGAUGAUUCAGGUCCAGAGGGGGUUUUGUCCAGCACGUUUACAUCCAAUUAUUAUAACGAAGAUUGAGGGUUAUCGCAUGCCAGUAAAAGAGUGCACAUGAAUAUAGUAUUGAUGCUUUUGAACAAUACAUAAUGUGUUAUCUUUCUCAUGAAUCGAAAA